AUCCUGGCUCAGGAUGAACGCUGGCGGCGUGCUUAACACAUGCAAGUCGAACGAUGAUGCCCAGCUUGCUGGGUGGAUUAGUGGCGAACGGGUGAGUCACACGUGAGUAACCUGCCCUUGACUCUGGGAUAAGCCUGGGAAACUGGGUCUAAUACCGGAUAUGACUGCUCCGCGCAUGCGGUGGUGGUGGAAAGCUUUUGCGGUUUUGGAUGGACUCGCGGCCUAUCAGCUUGUUGGUGGGGUAAUGGCCUACCAAGGCGACGACGGGUAGCCGGCCUGAGAGGGUGACCGGCCACACUGGGACUGAGACACGGCCCAGACUCCUACGGGAGGCAGCAGUGGGGAAUAUUGCACAAUGGGCGCAAGCCUGAUGCAGCGACGCCGCGUGAGGGAUGACGGCCUUCGGGUUGUAAACCUCUUUCAGUAGGGAAGAAGCGAAAGUGACGGUACCUGCAGAAGAAGCGCCGGCUAACUACGUGCCAGCAGCCGCGGUAAUACGUAGGGCGCAAGCGUUAUCCGGAAUUAUUGGGCGUAAAGAGCUCGUAGGCGGUUUGUCGCGUCUGCUGUGAAAGACCGGGGCUCAACUCCGGUUCUGCAGUGGGUACGGGCAGACUAGAGUGAUGUAGGGGAGACUGGAAUUCCUGGUGUAGCGGUGAAAUGCGCAGAUAUCA
rnacentral:rRNA from 1 species